GGGCAUUUAAGGUGACGUCACAGAAUAUGGCGCGCUCCUAGAAGCAGCUUUCGGCCUCCGAAGAAGGCUGCGGGGACUUCGGCGCGUGGAAGGCUGUGCAGUGCACGAGUCCAACUGACAUCUCGCGGCGCGGCGUGGAGGGAGCGGGCGAGCCGGGCCAGGCAGGGCGGGACUGAGCCGAGCCUAACGGUUUCCAUGGAUCUCGAUAGUGCCAGCACUAUUGUUCUUCACGUCUUAACUCAGGCCACCAGCCAAGAUACUUCAGUGUUGAAACCAGCUGAAGAACAGCUAAAACAGUGGGAGACACAGCCAGGCUUCUACUCAGUGUUGUUGAAUAUUUUUACAAACCAUACUCUGGAUAUAAAUGUGCGGUGGCUAGCUGUGCUGUAUUUUAAAAAUGGAAUUGAUCGUUAUUGGAGACGUGUAGCACCUCAUGCUCUUUCGGAGGAGGAGAAAGCCACCUUGAGAGCAGGGCUCAUCACCAAUUUCAAUGAGCCAGUAAAUCAGAUUGCAACUCAGAUUGCAGUGCUGAUUGCUAAAGUUGCUAGAUUGGAUUGUCCCAGACAUUGGCCAGAAUUGAUUCCCACCCUUAUAGAAUCUGUGAAAAUCCAAGAUGAUCUUCGUCAGCACAGAGCAUUGCUUACUUUCUAUCAUGUCACUAAGACUCUGGCAUCCAAAAGACUGGCUGCAGACCGAAAGCUCUUUUAUGAUUUAGCAUCUGGGAUUUAUAGUUUUGCUUGUUCCCUGUGGAAUCACCAUACGGAUACAUUCCUGCAACAUAUUUCUACUGGAGAUGAAGCUGCUAUUUUAAAUUCAUUGGAAAGAACUCUACUAUCAUUGAAAGUGCUUCGUAAACUAACUGUUCAUGGAUUUGUGGAACCUCACAAGAAUAUGGAAGUGAUGGGUUUCCUACAUGGGAUUUUUGAGCGUCUAAAACAAUUUUUGGAAUGCAGUAGAAGUAUAGGCACAGAUAAUGUAUGUAGAGACAGACUGGAAAAGACCAUCAUUCUUUUUACUAAAGUGCUUUUAGACUUCUUGGACCAACAUCCCUUUUCUUUUACGCCUCUCAUUCAACGAUCACUGGAGUUUGCAGUAAGCUAUGUUUUUACAGAAAUGGGCGAAGGAAUCACAUUUGAGCGAUUCAUCGUUCAGUGCAUGAAUCUGAUUAAGAUGAUUGUAAAAAAUUAUGCUUAUAAGCCAUCAAAAAAUGUUGAAGAUAGCAGUCCCGAAACUCUUGAAGCACAUAAGAUUAAGAUGUCUUUCUUCACAUACCCCACCUUGACAGAGAUAUGUAGAAGAUUAGUUACUCAUUAUUUUCUACUAACAGAGGAAGAGCUGACAAUGUGGGAAGAAGAUCCCGAAGGCUUUACUGUGGAAGAGACAGGAGGAGAUUCUUGGAAAUAUAGUUUAAGGCCUUGCACUGAAGUGCUAUUUAUAGACAUAUUCCAUGAAUAUAAUCAGACUCUUACACCUAUACUUUUAGAAAUGGUACAGACACUGCAAGGGCCAACCAAUGUGGAAAAUACCAAUGGAAUACUGAUCAAAGAUGCUGUCUAUAAUGCAGUUGGAUUGGCUGCUUAUGAGUUAUUUGACAGUGUGGAUUUUGAUCAGUGGUUUAAAAACCAGUUGCUGCCAGAAUUAAGAGUCACUCAUGAUAGGUAUAAACCAUUGCGACGCAGGGUAAUUUGGCUAAUUGGACAGUGGGUUUCUGUGAAAUUCAAGUCUGACUUGAGACCCAUGUUAUAUGAGGCAAUUUGUAGUUUGCUUCAAGACCAAGAUUUAGUGGUUCGUAUUGAAACAGCUACAACUCUGAAGUUAACUGUUGAUGAUUUUGAGUUUAGAACGGAGCAAUUUCUGCCGUAUUUGGAAACCAUGUUCACGCUACUUUUUCAGCUACUUCAGCAAGUUACAGAAUGUGACACAAAGAUGCAUGUUUUACAUGUCCUAUCUUGUGUGAUUGAAAGAGUUAACAUGCAGAUACGCCCCUACGUAGGAUGUUUGGUUCAGUAUUUGCCUCUCCUUUGGAAGCAGAGUGAAGAACAUAAUAUGCUCAGAUGUGCCAUUUUGACUACUCUUAUUCAUCUUGUUCAGGGGUUAGGAGCAGACAGCAAGAACCUGUAUCCUUUCCUGCUCCCAAUUAUUCAACUGAGUACAGAUGUUUCCCAGCCACCACAUGUUUAUCUUCUGGAAGAUGGUUUAGAAUUAUGGUUAGUGACAUUGGAGAACAGUCCAUGUCUUACACCAGAGCUGCUUAGAAUCUUUCAGAACAUGUCCCCACUUCUUGAACUAAGUUCAGAAAAUCUCAGAACCUGCUUUAAGAUCAUCAAUGGUUAUAUUUUUUUGUCGUCAACUGAAUUUUUACAGACAUAUGCAGUAGGUCUGUGUCAGUCAUUUUGCGAACUGUUAGAGGAAAUUACCACCGAAGGACAAGUUCAAGUGCUUAAGGUAGUGGAAAGUGUUCUUAAAGUGAAUCCAACAUUAGGCCCUCAAAUGUUUCAACCAAUUUUACCGGGUGUGUUCAGGGGCAUUAUAGAUGGAGAGAGGUAUCCUGUAGUGAUGUCUGCUUAUCUUGGAAUCAUGGGCCGAGUUCUGUUGCAAAAUACUAGUUUCUUUUCUUCUCUUCUAAAUCAGAUGGCGCAUAAAUAUAACCAGGAGAUGGACCAGCUUCUGGGCAAUAUGAUUGAAAUGUGGGUUGAUCGCAUGGACAGCAUUACCCAACCAGAAAGAAGAAAACUUUCUGCUUUGGCGUUACUUUCACUUCUGCCAUCUGAUAAUGGAGUCAUCCAGGAUAAAUUCUGUGGCAUCAUUAACAUUUCAGUUGAAGGCCUACAUGAUGUUAUGACAGAAGAUCCUGAAACAGGAACUAUAGAGACUGCAUGUUGAUGUCUCAUUUUGAAGAGCCCAAAGUAACAGAGGAUGAGGAGCCGCCUACAGAACAGGACAAGAGAAAGAAAAUGCUUGCCCUUAAGGACCCUGUACACACGGUGUCACUGCAGCAAUUUGUCUAUGAGAAGCUCAAAGCGCAGCAGGAAUUGCUGGGAGAGCAAAGCUUUCAGGCUCUCAUGGAGACGGUGGAUACAGAAAUUGUCAACCAACUACAAGAAUUUUUACAGGGCUUCUGAAAGCUCAGCUGGAACCUUGGGUGGCUAACUCUCUCUUCCCGAAAAAAGACAAUACCAAGCUUACCAAGAUGGAGCUGACAUGCUAAAGAAAUCAGUUGUGAAAGAAAGUAAAGAAGCAGAGACCACAAAGCCAUUUUUUUUUUUUGGUUUCAAAAUCGGGGGGAAAAGUGGAAAAUGCCUCAUAACGAGAGUUUACAAACCUGUUCCUCAAGAAAGUAGUUUUGUACUGGGGGGUGGGAUGGGGGGACCUGGAGUUUGCAAGAGAAAAUGUGUUCAUUGAAAAUAGCUGCUUAGUUUAUUGUUAAGAGAAGAAAAUGGUUUUGAUUAUCAUUUAAUCAUGUACUCUUAACACUUAAGAAGAAGUGAAGGUUGAUGGUUAAUGUCUGAAAUGUUUUCCUGCAGCAAAAAUUAGUUCAAGUUGGUGACUGCCUUACCCAUUUUUUAAGUGAAUGAAACUACAGAUUUUUUUUAAAAAAUGGCAAAGCCAUUUUUGGAAAUAAUUGGAGACUAAGAAAUUUGGUCAUUAGGUAAAAAUAUAUAUAUAUAGAGAGAGAUAUAUAUUCCUAAGAUUAUCUCGAAAGGGAAAUGUUUUCAUCUAAAAAAAAAGAAAGCCAGUUAUAUCAGCCAAAUGCUUUUAUUUUCAUUGUACUAAUCUGAUAUAGGGACUGUUGUUAGUAAAGGGAUAUUUUUCUCAUUUUAUUUUCAGGAAACACACUUAGUCUUUAAAUAUGUACUAUAAGGCCUGCACAAUGAACUUGGGGGAUACUGCAGUGUCAGGGAGGAGACCUGAGUUCACUGUUCACUCCCAUUCCUUUCUAUCAGUCAUUAGGGCUACCAGCCCUAAUGUGAGCCCCAGGGAAAACUGAGGGGCUAACUAUAGACCAUCUUCAAGAAAAGCAAUGAGUUAUUGUCCAGGGGGUACCUGUCUCACCUUCCUAAACUGGAAAGGGAACAGAUAUGAGUCAGGGGCCUUAAAAGAUACUGGCGAGGAUCAGAGGACAGUAUAAGAGAUCAUACAUAUAGUGAUGCAAAGAAUCUGCCUUCCUAUUCCUCAGAGAAUACUAUGUAGUACCAAAAAAGAAAAAAAUUUAAAAAGCCUUACUUUGUUUUACUUCCCCUGUUGUAAGAAACCUUUAACACAUUUUUUAGGAAACGUUCUAAAUUAAGGUUAGGAAAAUUUUGAUCUUUCUAUAGAAAGUUGGGUACAGUACGUAACUGUAGGGAACCCACUGCCCCUUUGUAAGCUGUGGAACCCAAAAUGUAUUUGAGUAUUUGAUGUUUUCAGCAAGACAAAGAACGUAUAUGGUCUCAUUAAAGUUCCAAAGAUACCUCA